rnacentral:rRNA from 1 species
GCCUGGCCCUAAAUCUUGAUGCUCGAUCUUACCGGAGCAUCCGCCCGAGAACUACGAGCACCAACGCUUAAAACUCUAAGGACUUGGCGGUGCCCCAAACCCACCUAGAGGAGCCUGUUCUGUAAUCGAUGAUCCACGAUAUACCUGACCAUUCCUUGCCAAGUCAGCCUAUAUACCGCCGUCGCCAGCCCACCCAGCAUGAAGGACCAACAGUGGACGCAAUAGCCUAACCCGCUAGUACGACAGGUCAAGGUAUAGCCUAUGGAAUGGAGGCAAUGGGCUACAUUUUCUAAAUUAGAACAUACGGCAAAGGGAUAUGAAACUGUCCCUGGAAGGAGGAUUUAGCAGUAAAGUGGGACAAUCGAGCCCUCUUUAAGCCGGCCCUGGAGCACGU